rnacentral:rRNA from 1 species
AGGACGAACGCUGGCGGCGUGCUUAACACAUGCAAGUCGAACGGAAAGGCCCUUCGGGGUACUCGAGUGGCGAACGGGUGAGUAACACGUGGGUGAUCUGCCCUGCACUUUGGGAUAAGCCUGGGAAACUGGGUCUAAUACCGAAUACACCUUGCCGGCUGCAUGGUUGGUGGGGGAAAGCUUUUGCGGUGUGGGAUGGGCCCGCGGCCUAUCAGCUUGUUGGUGGGGUGAUGGCCUACCAAGGCGACGACGGGUA